GAUGAACACUAGCGGCAGGCCUAAUACAUGCAAGUCGAACGGUGUCUUCGGACAUAGUGGCGCACGGGUGCGUAACACGUAUGCAACCUACCUUACAUUGGGGGAUAGCCUUUCGAAAGGGAGAUUAAUACCGCAUAAGACAGUAGCUGGGCAUCCAGCAGCUGUUAAAGAUUUAUCGAUGUAAGCUGGGCAUGCGUCCAAUUAGCUAGUUGGUGAGGUAACGACUCACCAAGGCAAUGAUUGGUAGGGGAACUGAGAGGUCAAUCCCCCACACUGGCACUGAGAUACGGGCCAGACUCCUACGGGAGGCAGCAGUGGGGAAUUUUGGACAAUGGGCGCAAGCCUGAUCCAGCAAUGCCGCGUGCAGGAUGAAGGCCUUCGGGUUGUAAACUGCUUUUGUACGGAGCGAAAAGGCUCUCUCUAAUACAGGGGGCUCAUGACGGUACCGUAAGAAUAAGCACCGGCUAACUACGUGCCAGCCGCCGCUGUAAAAC
rnacentral:rRNA from 1 species